rnacentral:rRNA from 1 species
CAGCAGCCACGGUAACACGUAGGGGGCAAGCGUUAUCCGGAAUAACUGGGCGUAAAGGGUGCGCAGGUGGUUUAACAAGUUAGUGGUGAAAGGCAUAGGCUCAACCAAUGUAAGCCAUUAAAACUGUUUAACUUGAGUGCAGGAGAGGAAAGUGGAAUUCCUAGUGUAGCGGUGAAAUGCGCAGAUAUUAGGAGGAAUACCAGUGGCGAAGGCGACUUUCUGGACUGCAACUGACGCUGAGGCUCGAAAGCGUGGGGAGCAAACAGGAUUAGAUACCCCCGUAGUCCCUGUCUCUUAUACA